GGAGGCCGGUCGGCCGAGAGGUCCACGGGCGACGUCAACCCCCGCAAGUGUGGAUCUGGGGCUGGGAGGCGGCAACAACGGGCCAGGAAGGAGCGGACCUGUGGUGUGGAUCAUAGGGGACUCGAUAGUGUUUUGGGCACAUCGCAGGGCGAAGAACACCGGCGAGGCUGACCUUGGACUUGGAACGUCGGUCCGCUGGUUGGG